rnacentral:rRNA from 1 species
GUCGAACGGUACACAGAGAGCUUGCUCUCGGGUGACGAAUGGCGGACGGGUGAGUAAUGUCUGGGAAACUGCCUGAUGGAGGGGGAUAACUACUGGAAACGGUAGCUAAUACCGCAUAACGUCGCAAGACCAAAGAGGGGGACCUUCGGGCCUCUUGCCAUCAGAUGUGCCCGAUGGGAUUAGCUAGUAGGUGGGGUAACGGCUCACCUAGGCGACGAUCCCUACCUGGUCUGAGAGGAUGACCAGCCACACUGGAACUGAGACACGGUCCAGACUCCUACGGGAGGCACCAGUGGGGAAUAUUGCGCAAUGGGCGCAAGCCUGAUGCAGCCAUGCCGCGUGUAUGAAAAAGGCCUUCGGGUUGUAAAGAACUUUCACCGGGGAGGAAGGGGAUAAGGUUAAUAACCUUGUUGAUUGACGUUACCCGCAGAAGAAGCACCGGCUAACUCCGUGCCAGCAGCCGCGGUAAUACGGAGGGUGCAAGCGUUAAUCGGAAUUACUGGGCGUAAAGCGCACGCAGGCGGUCUGUCAAGUCGGAUGUGAAAUCCCCGGGCUCAACCUGGGAACUGCAUUCGAAACUGGCAAGCUGGAGUCUUGUAUAGGAGGGGUAGAAUUCCAAGUGUAACGGUGAAAUGCGUAGUAGAUCUGGAGGAAUACCGGUAUAUGAAGGCGGACCCCCUGUACAAAGACUGACGUCUCAUGUGCUGAAAGCUGUGCGGGUAGCAGAUCAGGAAUUAGAUACGCCUGGAUACUCCACGCUGUACACUGAUGUCGACUUUGGCAGGAUAGCUUACCCUUUGACGA